UGCGAGCGAACAGGGAAAAGCCCAGCACCGAAUCCCGCGGCCGAUAUCGGACGCCGGGAAAUGUGGAGUUAGGGUAGGAUCCGUCUAUCCCGAGGUCGUGCGGUGCGUCCAAGUCCUUCUUGAACGGGGCCACAGCCCAUAGAGGGUGCCAGGCCCGUAGUGACCGCUGCCGAUCGCGGGAGGAUCUCUCCUCAGAGUCGGGUUGCUUGAGAGUGCAGCCCUAAGUGGGUGGUAAACUCCAUCUAAGGCUAAAUAUGACCACGAGACCGAUAGCGAACAAGUACCGUGAGGGAAAGUUGAAAAGCACUUUGAAGAGAGAGUUCAAGAGUACGUGAAACCGUUCAGGGGUAAACCUGAGAAGCCCGAAAGGUCGAAUGGGGAAAUUCAAUCGCGUUUCGGCCGCCGGCGUUGGAUGGUCGCGUGACGGGUGGCGUACGCGUCGUCCGCGCCUUCCGUUCUUCGAACCGGCGUCGAACGCGUGCACUUUUCCCCUAGUAGGACGUCGCGAUCCGUUGGGUGUCGGUCUAUGGCCCGUGGUGGAGCCCGUGCGGUAGCCGUUCGGUUUAUCGCACGGACCCGCGGUGUUCCGGCCGGCUCGCUCGACGGUAUACAGAUGGCGCGGGGCCGCUACUCAGCUAGCGUUCGGC
rnacentral:rRNA from 1 species